rnacentral:rRNA from 1 species
GUGGGGAAUAUUGGGCAAUGGGCGAAAGCCUGACCCAGCAACGCCGCGUGAGGGAAGAAGGUUUUCGGAUUGUAAACCUCUGUCCUAUGGGAAGAAGGAAGUGACGGUACCAUAGGAGGAAGCCCCGGCUAACUACGUGCCAGCAGCCGCGGUAAUACGUAGGGGGCGAGCGUUGUCCGGAAUUACUGGGCGUAAAGGGUGCGCAGGUGGCCUGACAAGUCAGAUGUGAAAUACCGAUGCUUAACGUCGGGGCUGCAUUUGAAACUAUGAGGCUGGAGUGCAGGAGAGGGAAGCGGAAUUCCUAGUGUAGCGGUGAAAUGCAUAGAUAUGCGGAAGAACACCAAUGGCGAAGGCAGCCCUCUGGGACAUGACUGACGCUCAUGCACGAAAGCGUGGGGAGCAAACAGGAUUAGAAACCCGUGUAGUCC